GUCAGAUGAACGCGGGCGGCGUGCCUAAUACAUGCAAGUCGAGCGAACAGAUAAGGAGCUUGCUCCUUUGACGUUAGCGGCGGACGGGUGAGUAACACGUGGAUAACCUACCUAUAAGACUGGGAUAACUUCGGGAAACCGGAGCUAAUACCGGAUAACAUAUUGAACCGCAUGGUUCAAUAGUGAAAGGCGGCUUUGCUGUCACUUAUAGAUGGAUCCGCGCCGUAUUAGCUAGUUGGUAAGGUAACGGCUUACCAAGGCAACGAUACGUAGCCGACCUGAGAGGGUGAUCGGCCACACUGGAACUGAGACACGGUCCAGACUCCUACGGGAGGCAGCAGUAGGGAAUCUUCCGCAAUGGGCGAAAGCCUGACGGAGCAACGCCGCGUGAGUGAUGAAGGUCUUCGGAUCGUAAAACUCUGUUAUCAGGGAAGAACAAAUGUGUAAGUAACUGUGCACAUCUUGACGGUACCUGAUCAGAAAGCCACGGCUAACUACGUGCCAGCAGCCGCGGUAAUACGUAGGUGGCAAGCGUUAUCCGGAAUUAUUGGGCGUAAAGCGCGCGUAGGCGGUUUUUUAAGUCUGAUGUGAAAGCCCACGGCUCAACCGUGGAGGGUCAUUGGAAACUGGAAAACUUGAGUGCAGAAGAGGAAAGUGGAAUUCCAUGUGUAGCGGUGAAAUGCGCAGAGAUAUGGAGGAACACCAGUGGCGAAGGCGACUUUCUGGUCUGUAACUGACGCUGAUGUGCGAAAGCGUGGGGAUCAAACAGGAUUAGAUACCCUGGUAGUCCACGCCGUAAACGAUGAGUGCUAAGUGUUAGGGGGUUUCCGCCCCUUAGUGCUGCAGCUAACGCAUUAAGCACUCCGCCUGGGAGACGCCGACUGU
rnacentral:rRNA from 1 species